rnacentral:rRNA from 1 species
GAUGAAAGCUGGCGGCGUGCCUAAUACAUGCAAGUCGAGCGAAGCGGGGACGGGUGAGUAACACGUGGAUAACCUCCUAUAAGACUGGUAUAACUUCGGGAAACCGGAGCUAAACCGGAUACGUAUAGAUGGAUCCGCGCUGCAUUAGCUCGUUGGUAAGUUAACAGCUUACCAAGGCAACGAUGCAUAGCCGACCUGAGAGGGAGAUAGGCCACCCGGGAAAUGAGCCACGGACCAGAAACCUACGUGAAGCACCAGGAGGGAAUCUUCCGCAGUGGACGAUAGCCUGAAGAAGGGACGCCGCGUGGGUGAUGAAGGUAAUCAGAUCGUAAAACUGUGUUAUUAGUGAAACGGUAGAUAAUCAGAAAGCCACGGCUAAAUAAGUGCCAGCAGCCGCGGUAAUAC